AGUGGCAGUCCCAGAGCUACAAACCCGGCCGCCUGCGCCCGGACGCGCGCUGUGAUGGCGGCUGCUGGGGCCCGGGGAGGCGGCGGCGCCGGCGCCGCUGGGGCCCGGGGAGGCGGCGGCGCCGGCGCCGGCACCGGCGGCUCGGGGUCCAGCUCUGGUUCCAGCACCUCCCGAGGUUUUUAUUUCAACACAGUGCUUUCACUGGCCCGCUCCCUGGCUGUGCAGAGACCUGCAUCCUUAGAGAAGGUUCAAAAGCUGCUGUGCAUGUGCCCAGUAGAUUUUCAUGGAAUCUUCCAGCUAGAUGAAAGACGGAGAGAUGCAGUGAUUGCUCUGGGCAUUUUUCUCAUUGAGUCUGAUCUUCAGCACAAAGAUUGUAUUGUUCCUUAUCUUCUUCGACUUCUCAGGGGUCUUCCAAAAGUCUAUUGGGUAGAAGAAAGCACAGCUCGGAAAGGCAGAGGUAACCUCCCGGUUGCAGAAAGCUUCAGCUUCUGCCUGGUGACCUUGCUGUCUGAUGUGGCUUGCAGGGACCCCUCACUUAGGGAUGAGAUUUUAGAGGCACUUUUGCAGGUUUUACAUGUCCUUCUGGGAAUGUGCCAGGCCCUGGAGAUUCAAGAGAAAGAAUACCUUUGCAAGUAUGCAAUCCCAUGCCUGAUAGGGAUCUCGAGAUCUUUUGGACGUUACAGCAAUUCAGAAGAAUCUCUCCUCUCAAAGCUUUUUCCCAAAGUCCCUCCUCAUUCCCUGAGAAUCCCCGAAGAGCUAGAAGGUGUCCGAAGGCGUUCCUUUAAUGACUUCCGCUCCAUCCUGCCCAGCAACCUGCUGACUGUCUGUCAGGAGGGCACACUGAAGAGGAAAACCAGCAGUGUGUCCAGCAUCUCUCAGGUUAGCCCAGAACGUGGCAUGCCCCCUCCCAGCUCCCCUGGAGGAUCUGCUUUUCACUAUUUUGAAGCCUCUUGCCUGCCUGAUGGAACCACCUUGGAGCCCGAAUACUACUUCUCUACCAUCAGCUCCAGUUUUUCUGUCUCUCCCCUGUUCAAUGGUAUCACCUAUAAGGAGUUCUAUAUUCCACUGGAAAUGCUUCGAGAACUCUUAAACUUGGUAAAGAAGAUUGUUGAGGAGCCUGUUCUCAAGUCCUUAGAUGCAGCUGUAGCCAGAGUGAUGGAGGCCAAUCCCAGUGCUGACCUAUACUACACGACCUUCAGUGAUCCCGUCUACCUGACCAUGUUCAAGAUGCUUCGAGACACUCUGUACUAUAUGAAAGACUUACCCACCUCCUUUGUGAAAGAGAUCCAUGAUUUUGUGUUGGAGCAGUUCAACAUGAGCCAAGGGGAACUCCAAAAGAUUCUCCAUGAUGCAGACAGGAUCCACAGUGAGAUGAGCCCACUCAAACUGCGCUGCCAAGCAAAUGCUGCCUGCGUAGACCUCAUGGUGUGGGCUGUGAAGGAUGAGCAGGGUGCAGAAAACCUUUGCAUCAAGCUGUCUGAAAAGCUGCAGUCCAAGACAUCCAGCAAGGUCAUCAUCGCCCAUUUGCCCUUGCUGAUCUGCUGCCUACAGGGUCUGGGCCGCCUAUGUGAACGGUUCCCGGUGGUGGUCCACUCAGUGACACCAUCUUUGAGAGACUUUCUGGUGAUUCCAUCCCCAGUGCUGGUGAAGCUCUAUAAGUACCACAGUCAGUACCACACAGUUGCUGGCAGUGAUAUAAAAAUUAGUGUCACCAAUGAGCAUUCUGAGUCAACUCUGAAUGUCUUGCCCGGCAAGAAGAACCAGCCAUCCAUGUAUGAGCAGCUCCGGGACAUCGCCAUUGACAACAUCUGCAGGUGCCUGAAGGCCGGCCUCACCGUGGACCCUGUGAUCGUGGAGGCCUUCCUGGCCAGCCUCUCCAACCGGCUCUAUAUCUCCCAGGAGAGCGAUAAGGAUGCUCACUUGAUUCCUGACCAUACCAUUCGUGCCUUGGGACACAUUGCAGUGGCUCUGAGGGAUACCCCAAAGGUCAUGGAGCCAAUUCUGCAGAUCCUGCAGCAGAAAUUUUGCCAGCCCCCCUCACCCCUCGAUGUGCUCAUCAUCGACCAGCUGGGCUGCCUGGUUAUCACUGGAAAUCAAUACAUUUAUCAGGAAGUGUGGAAUCUCUUCCAACAAAUCAGUGUGAAGGCCAGUUCAGUUGUAUAUUCAGCCACCAAAGACUACAAAGACCAUGGCUACAGGCACUGCUCCCUCGCAGUCAUCAAUGCCCUGGCCAACAUCGCAGCCAACAUUCAGGAGGAGCACCUUGUGGAUGAGCUGUUGAUGAACCUGCUGGAACUGUUUGUGCAGCUGGGGCUGGAGGGGAAGAGAGCCAGUGAGAGGGCCAGCGAGAAGGGGCCCGCCCUGAAGGCUUCCAGCAGUGCAGGGAAUUUGGGAGUGCUCAUUCCUGUAAUAGCCGUGCUCACCCGACGAUUGCCACCCAUCAAAGAAGCUAAACCUAGGCUACAAAAGCUUUUCCGAGACUUCUGGCUCUACUCUGUGCUAAUGGGAUUCGCUGUGGAAGGCUCAGGGCUCUGGCCGGAAGAGUGGUAUGAAGGAGUCUGUGAAAUAGCAACCAAGUCACCUCUGCUUACCUUUCCCAGCAAAGAGCCUCUUCGAUCAGUCCUCCAGUACAACUCAGCCAUGAAAAAUGAUACAGUGACCCCGGCUGAGCUGAAUGAGCUCCGAAGUACCAUCAUCAACUUGCUAGAUCCUCCUCCUGAGGUGUCUGCCCUCAUCAACAAGCUGGACUUUGCCAUGUCCACCUAUCUCUUGUCUGUGUAUCGGCUGGAAUACAUGAGGGUGCUGCGUUCUACAGAUCCAGAUCGCUUCCAGGUAAUGUUCUGCUACUUCGAGGAUAAAGCUAUUCAGAAAGACAAAUCUGGGAUGAUGCAGUGUGUCAUCGCUGUUGCUGACAAAGUAUUUGAUGCCUUCCUGAACAUGAUGGCAGAAAAAGCCAAGACCAAGGAGAAUGAAGAGGAGUUGGAGCGGCAUGCCCAGUUUCUGCUGGUGAACUUCAACCACAUUCACAAGAGGAUACGCAGAGUGGCUGACAAGUACCUGUCUGGUCUGGUGGAUAAGUUUCCACACUUGCUCUGGAGUGGGACUGUGCUGAAGACCAUGUUGGACAUUCUGCAGACCCUGUCACUAUCACUAAGUGCUGAUAUUCACAAGGACCAACCUUAUUAUGACAUUCCUGACGCCCCCUAUCGGAUCACGGUUCCUGACACGUAUGAAGCCCGGGAGAGCAUCGUGAAAGACUUUGCUGCACGCUGUGGGAUGAUCCUGCAGGAAGCCAUGAAGUGGGCACCCACGGUCACUAAGUCCCACCUGCAGGAAUAUCUGAACAAGCAUCAGAACUGGGUGUCAGGACUGUCCCAGCACACGGGAUUGGCCAUGGCCACUGAGAGCAUCCUUCACUUUGCCGGCUACAACAAGCAGAACACAACUCUUGGGGUAACUCAGCUCACUGAGCGCCCGGCCUGUGUGAAGAAAGACUACUCCAACUUCAUGGCAUCCUUGAAUUUGCGCAACCGCUAUGCCGGCGAGGUGCACGGGAUGAUUCGGUUCUCAGGUGCCACAGGCCAGAUGUCCGACCUGAACAAAAUGAUGGUCCAGGAUCUGAUUACAGCUCUGGACCACAGUCAUCCUCAGCACUAUACCCAAGCCAUGUUCAAAUUGACGGCCAUGCUCAUUAGCAGCAAAGAUUGUGACCCACAGCUCCUUCAUCAUCUGUGUUGGGGUCCCCUCCGGAUGUUCAACGAGCAUGGCAUGGAGACUGCACUAGCCUGCUGGGAGUGGCUGCUGGCUGGCAAGAAUGGAGUGGAAGUGCCGUUCAUGCGGGAGAUGGCAGGAGCCUGGCACAUGACAGUGGAGCAGAAGUUCGGCCUCUUCUCUGCAGAAACAAAGGAAGCAGAUCCCCUGGCAGCGUCAGAAGCAAGUCAGCCACGACCCUGUCCCCCUGAAGUGACACCUCACUACAUCUGGAUUGAUUUCCUGGUGCAGCGGUUUGAGAUUGCCAAGUACUGUAGCUCUGACCAGGUGGAGAUCUUCUCAAGCCUGCUGCAGCGCUCCAUGUCCCUCCACAUCGGUGGAGCCAGGGGGAGCAUGAACAGGCAUGUGGCAGCCAUUGGACCACGUUUCAAACUGCUGACCCUGGGGCUGUCCCUCCUACACGCUGAUGUGGUUCCAAAUGCAACCAUUCGAAACGUGCUUCGAGAGAAGAUCUACUCAACAGCCUUUGACUAUUUCAGUUGUCCACCAAAGUUCCCUACUCAAGGAGAAAAGAGGCUGCGUGAAGAUAUAAGCAUCAUGAUUAAGUUUUGGACUGCCAUGUUCUCAGAUAAGAAGUACCUGACUGCCAGCCAACUCGUUCCCCCAGAUAACCAGGACACCCGAAGCAACUUGGAUAUAACUGUGGGCUCUCGACAACAGGCUACACAGGGAUGGAUCAACACAUACCCCCUCUCCAGUGGCAUGUCAACUAUCUCCAAAAAAUCAGGCAUGUCUAAGAAAACCAACCGAGGUUCCCAGCUGCACAAGUACUACAUGAAGCGUAGGACGCUGCUGCUGUCACUGUUGGCCACUGAGAUCGAGCGCCUCAUCACUUGGUACAACCCGCUGUCAGCCCCAGAGCUAGAGCUGGACCAGGCAGGUGAGAACAGUGUUGCCAACUGGAGGUCCAAGUAUAUCAGCCUGAGUGAGAAGCAGUGGAAGGACAACGUGAACCUUGCCUGGACCAUCUCUCCAUACCUCGCUGUGCAGCUGCCAGCCAGGUUCAAGAAUACAGAAGCCAUUGGAAAUGAAGUGACCCGUCUCGUUCGCCUGGACCCAGGAGCUGUUAGUGAUGUCCCUGAAGCUAUCAAGUUCCUUGUCACCUGGCACACCAUCGAUGCUGAUGCUCCAGAGCUUAGCCAUGUGUUAUGCUGGGCACCCACGGACCCGCCCACGGGCCUCUCCUACUUCUCCAGCAUGUACCCCCCACACCCUCUCACUGCACAGUAUGGGGUGAAAGUCCUGCGGUCCUUCCCUCCGGAUGCCAUUCUGUUCUACAUCCCCCAGAUUGUGCAGGCCCUCAGAUAUGACAAGAUGGGCUAUGUGCGCGAGUACAUUCUCUGGGCUGCAGCCAAAUCCCAGCUUCUGGCACACCAGUUUAUUUGGAAUAUGAAAACUAACAUCUACCUUGAUGAAGAAGGGCACCAGAAAGACCCUGACAUUGGUGACCUUCUGGAGCAGUUAGUAGAAGAAAUCACAGGGUCUCUAUCAGGCCCAGCCAAAGAUUUCUAUCAACGGGAAUUUGAUUUCUUUAACAAGAUCACCAACGUGUCAGCCAUCAUCAAGCCCUACCCUAAAGGCGAUGAAAGAAAGAAGGCUUGUCUGUCAGCCCUGUCUGAAGUGAAGGUGCAGCCUGGCUGCUACCUGCCCAGCAACCCUGAAGCAAUUGUGCUAGACAUUGACUACAAGUCAGGGACACCAAUGCAGAGUGCUGCAAAAGCGCCGUAUCUUGCCAAGUUUAAGGUGAAGCGAUGCGGAGUGAGUGAACUUGAAAAAGAAGGUCUGCAGUGCCGCUCAGACACAGAGGAUGAGUGCCGCAGGCAAGAGGCUGAUGGCAAGAAGAUCUGCUGGCAAGCAGCCAUCUUCAAAGUGGGGGAUGACUGCCGACAGGACAUGCUAGCCCUGCAGAUCAUCGACCUUUUCAAGAACAUCUUCCAGCUGGUUGGCCUGGACCUCUUCGUUUUUCCCUAUCGGGUAGUGGCUACUGCCCCUGGGUGUGGGGUGAUUGAGUGCAUUCCAGACUGUACCUCCCGAGACCAGCUAGGCCGCCAGACUGACUUCGGCAUGUAUGACUACUUUACACGCCAGUAUGGGGACGAGUCUACCUUGGCCUUCCAGCAGGCACGCUACAACUUUAUCAGAAGCAUGGCGGCCUACAGCCUCCUGCUGUUCCUGCUGCAGAUCAAGGACAGGCACAACGGCAACAUCAUGCUGGACAAGAAGGGACACAUCAUCCACAUAGACUUUGGCUUCAUGUUUGAAAGCUCACCGGGUGGCAACCUUGGCUGGGAGCCAGACAUCAAGCUGACAGACGAGAUGGUGAUGAUUAUGGGGGGCAAGAUGGAAGCCACACCCUUCAAGUGGUUCAUGGAGAUGUGCGUCCGAGGUUAUCUGGCUGUGCGCCCCUAUAUGGAUGCAGUCGUCUCCCUGGUUACACUCAUGUUGGACACAGGCCUGCCCUGUUUCCGUGGCCAGACAAUCAAACUUUUGAAACACAGGUUCAGCCCGAACAUGACAGAGCGGGAGGCUGCAAAUUUUAUCAUGAAGAUCAUCCAAAACUGUUUCCUCAGCAACAGGAGCCGGACCUACGACAUGAUCCAGUACUACCAGAAUGAUAUCCCCUACUGAGGAGACUGUACCUGAAGCCUUGAGUGUCACAGAGCAGCUUGUACUGUCACCAUAAGCCUGGGUGUGGAGGUGACAGGCACAUGGAACUUGGAUGCACAGACAGGCACCGCAGAAAACAAAGGAGACAGAGAUGUAGGCGGCCGAAGCCAGCAUGGUGCGUUCUAAGCGGGCAGCAGCCCGCGAGCACGUAGCUCAAGCAAAGGCGACAGCGUGUAGCGAAGCCGGCGGAAGACCGCGUCGGAGCCGAGACUCUGGAGCCCUGGGCCGAUGGUGUCAGGUCGUGCCAACACCAAGUAGAUCAGCGGCAGCACCAGGAAACCCAGCGGGAGCAGCAGCAGUGUCUGCAGUGCGCUCAGCGCCCACAGCCUGCAGAACCACCAACCGACAGGUGGGUGGUGGCUCUGGGACCCGGAAUCCGGACCUGCCCCUCACCCACGCGCCACUCACCUGAGGCUCCCCGCGCCCGCACCCCCGAACAGCCGCUUUUCCUGCAGAGAAAGGGCUGCAUCUAGCUUUCUGGGCAGCCGCUAGGCUCUAGCCAUCGUCACCAGCAGGUCCCAGCUCCAGCCUGCGCUCCCCAGCCCACGCUCACGCAGUCAGCCCUGGCCACCUCCUCCAUAAGUGAGCCCGAGCAGUCCUGCACUCGACGAGGCUGUGAGUUCCACCUACAAGACAGGCGAAGCUGUGAGUUCCACCAGGCCGGGCCUAGCGCCUACCGAUGCCCUUCAAGUUUCAGUCCUUACGGUUCCGAGCCACUGCGCGUAGCCUCCAGCGCAGCUGCUGCUUCCAUCACCUUCCCCUGCAGCUCCUGAAGGAUGAUGGCAACAGGGACUCAGGGCAGAGGGUGAGCUAUGUCUCGAGUCAGGGAGUAAAGAAAAAAGGGUGGAGGCCACAGGACAUUUGGAAGAGAAUGGCUGUCAGAAUAGAGAGGCCGCACCUGCAGGACUCCACUCUGCUCCUGGAAGCUGGCCCAGGCCUCUUCUGUCCGCUGCGUACCCUAGAAGCCAGGGAUUGGUAUGAGCGUCGCGAGGACAAGCCCUCCCCACACGCCCUCCCCUGAGAGUCCAGCGCCAGACGUACCUGCCGCAGGUCCUCGGCCUGCAUGCUGAAUUUGGCCUCCGCCAGCUCCAGAUGUUUCUUCCGGAGGAUUCAAGUGAUGUCAAGAACCUGCAGGCCUCGCACACCGCUCGGUCCCUGGCCUUCAAGGCCCAUACUCUGCCCACGUGUGCGCGCAGCUCUGCCCACAGCCAUGCUCCGCCCACAGCCCCGCCCUGGUCCCACCCAAGUACCUGCAGCGCCACAAGCUGAGUUCCGAGUUGCUGCUCUGCUCGCUGUUGACUCAGCUGUUCCCCUCCAUAGUAGAAAAGCUGGGGACCAAACUCAUGAGAACCUGACUCAAGGGACUUGGGGACGCGUACGUGACCUGAGACAGCGCACGUACCUGGCUGGACAGUUCCUCCCACUGUUCCUGCAGCUUCCGAUUGUGUUGCUCCUGAAGACAGGGUCCAGGCUGUCUAGGCCUCUCCUCCAGCCUAGCCACCCCGGGCCCCACCUCUCCCGCUUGCCCGCACCAGGUCCUGCCGGUGCUGCUCCGCAGCCUCCAGCAGCCCACGAGCCCGUUCCGCACGCUCCCGCGCCGCCUCUCGUGCCUCCCCUCGAAUAGCUCGGGAUGUUUGACUUCGUCUUCGCUGCAGGCUACACGGCAGGGAAAAUUGGUCUGGGGUGAAACCAGAGCUCAGGAUCUUUUGGGAUGGAGCCACCACCAGCCUGAGAGUUCUAGACUGAAGCCCCACUGCCUGGAACGAAGGCUGCCAACAAGCCUGCCCCGGGGUCCCGGUGCCCUCGCACCUGCGCUCUCGCUCCCGCAGCUCGUCCAAGCGCCCGGUGAGGCUCUCGCUCUCGGCUUCCAGCCCACGCACCAGCUCCUCCAGCUCCUGCUUCCGCAGGCGGCCAUCGCGGUUGUCCUUCUGCAGCUGCAGCAGCUGCUCCUGCGGCUCAGCCAUGGCCCCAGCGCUCUGCCAGGACCUCCGCUGCCUGGAUGCCCUGGUGGCCUGCGUCACAAUAGGCACCAGGGGGCGCCGGAGCCCGACUGAGGCGGAUCACACUUUACCAAUUUGCCCACAUCUAUAAUUCUAUCUCCUCGGGGUGUAGGGGACAUGGAGAUCAGGAAUUCAAGGUCAUCCUUUGCUACAUACCUUGUUUGAAGCUAGCCAAAGCCACAUGGGAAUCUGUCUCAAAAAAAAAAAAAAACAGUAAAAAUAUCACAGUCCCAAUCUGAUUGGUAAAAAGUUACUAAUGUUCUAAAGAAAGGCUGUACUUGAUGGUUCAUGCCUUGUGAUCCCAGAAUACCAGAGGCUGCGGUAAGAUCACCUAGAGUUCAAGGUCAGCCUAGCUGUAUAACAAGAAGACCCUAACUCAGAAAAAAAAACGAGGACAGUUGAACUAUCACAGUUACCACAGUAACUGUAAUUACAGGCUAAAUCAGGUGCGCCUCACCUUAGAUUUUGAGUGACCAAGCAGGAAGUGCUAAAAUUUUGAGAAAAAAAGUUUAAAAUUAAGAUUUAAUUUUUUUCUCCUGCUUGUGUUGCAAUGAUCAUAACUUUGGUAUGAUCUCAGUAGCUGGACUUUCCCCUAGUACAGCGUCGGGCUGAGUAGGUGAAGGGCGACUGGGUGCUCCACAGGUGUGACGUUCUCUUUUUUCUGUGUGCCUGCCUCAGGAGGACAUCAGAUCCCUUGAGGCUGGAAUAGUUGUAAUCCAGCUAUGUGGAUUAGGGAAACUAAAGUCAUCCCUCUGGAAGAGCAGCAAGUACUCUUUUUUUAAUUUAUUUAUUCAUUUAUUAUAUAUGAGUACACUGUAGCUGUCUUCAGACACACCAGAAGAGGGCAUCAGAUCCCUUACAGAUGGUUGUGGGUCACCAUGUGGUUGUUGGGAUUUGAACUCAGGACCUCUGGAAGAGCAGUCGGGUGCUCUUAACCACUGAGCCAUCUCUCCAGCCCGCAGCAAGUACUCUUAACCACACACUGUGACUUUUCACAUGCCAUGGUGUUAUAAUCUCUCUAGAGAGUUUAAGAAGCUAAUCUAGGGGUUUAGCUCAGCAGUAGAGCGCUUGCCUAGCUAGCGCAAGGCCCUGGGUUCGGUCCCUAGCUCCGGGGGGGGGGGGGGGGGGGGAUAUUUCAUAAUUUGGAGGAUAUGCUUUCCCGAGCUUCUUCAUUAGGGAGGCUGAGGCAGGAAUCCCACCGCAAAUUCGAAGCCAACCUGUGCUACAUAGUGAGACUUUGUCUCAAACAACAACCCAGCCCCGCAAAAAAGAACCCAGUGAGUUGACUUAUUUAUUACUUUUUUGUUACGAGUGAGCUGGGAUAUUGGUCAGUAGAAUCCCUGCACACACGAGGGUCAAUUCCCAGUAUCACACACAAAGCCAUCAGUUAUUAUAGGAAGGGCUGUGGGGUUUGAUAGCUGGGACUCUUCAUUGCUGACAGCACCACUCAGCUUUCCAGACGCCAGUGCUGCCUCGUCUCAUCUAUACAAAGAGUUCAAAGCUCCAGGUCCCUGAAACCCUUCUGGCCCCAGUAACUUGGGAGAAAGUGUUGAACAUUUGAAUUUUGUAUUUGCUGGGGAUGGAGGCAAGCCUCCCAGACAAGUCUUCUCCCUCUGAGACUUGUACCUCUAAGCUUCCUUCUCUGUGCCCUUUCUUUUCACAGGGAGUUCCCAGGAGACUCCCUCAGCCGCGCCCACUCUGCUUUCCUUUCCUCCCCUCAGCCUUUGACCGGCUCCCUUCACCAUCCACCCAGCACACCUGCAGCCUCAAUACUUACCGAGGUUUGCUAAUCUAGGGUUCUUUUUUCUUUUGUUUGAUUUUGUUUUCUUUUAUUACCUUGGAGACAUUGUCUCAUGUUGCUCAUACUGGCCUGAAACUCAACUGUGUAGCCAAGGAUGGCUUGGGGUCCCUUACUCUCUAUCUCCACUGCUGAGCACUGAGAUCACGGGACGCACCUCUCGGGCUGGCCUUUAUCCUAUGGUCAAAUGUGUUGCUUUUAAAAUAAAACAAAAAAUGAGGUUCUUGCUAAGUAACCUUGGCUACCCUCUAGCCCAGGUUGGCCUCCAAAUUGUGUCAA